rnacentral:lncRNA from 1 species
GCCAUCCAGCAAGCCUCUUGCACAGCCAGACAAUCUGCCACUCUGCCAGUUUCCUCGCCAGCCUCUUGGUUAGCCUCCCAUGCAGCCAGCUUCUAGGCCAGCCUCCUAACAAGCCAGACUUGCAUUCAGACUCUUAGCCAGAUUCAGCCUGCCAGGAUCUCAGCAGGCCUUUUAGCAAGCGUUUAUGGCAGCCUCUCAGAAAGCCUCUCCCACAGGCUCUAGGCCAGCCUCCCAGUGAGCCAGCCUCUCAGCAAGCCUCUAUGCUACUUUUCAAGAGAGUCCUUCAGUACACCAGCCUCCCAUGCAGCCUGCGCCUUGGCCAGCCUUCCAGCCAGCCUCUAGCAUAAAAACCACUUAAGAAGGCCCUGUUGCUUCCCUUCACUCUAAAACACUGCAGAGAGUGCCCUGAAAUAUUUGAAAUGUUGAAAAGCUGAACCUACAAAUGUCAAAACACAAAUGUAUAUUUGUUAUUGGGAAUGUUUUUCUCAACAAAAAUUGAAACAUUAAAAAUAAUAAAAUCUAAUUACUUAU